rnacentral:rRNA from 1 species
CACGUAGUUAGCCGGGGCUUCUUAGUCAGGUACCGUCAUCUUCUUCCCUGCUGAUAGAGCUUUACAUACCGAAAUACUUCUUCACUCACGCGGCGUCGCUGCAUCAGGGUUCCCCCCAUUGUGCAAUAUUCCCCACUGCUGCCUCCCGUAGGAGUUUGGGCCGUGUCUCAGUCCCAAUGUGGCUGGUCGCCCUCUCAGGCCGGCUACUGAUCGUCGCCUUGGUGGGCCGCUGCCCCGCCAACUAGCUAAUCAGGCGCGGAUCCAUCUUAUACCACCGGAGUUUUUCACACUGCGCCAUGCGGCGCCGUGCGCUUAUGCGGUAUUAGCAGCCAUUUCUGGCUGUUAUCCCCCAGUAUAAGGCAGGUUAUCCACGUGUUACUCACCCGUCCGCCGCUAAGUCAAUCCUGAUUCCAUCCGAAAACUUCAUCAAGAUUGCUCCGCUCGACUUGCAUGUGUUAGGCACGCCGCCAGCGUUCAU